rnacentral:rRNA from 1 species
GCAAGUCGAACGGUAACGGAGGAAGCUUGCUUCCUGCCGACGAGUGGCGGACGGGUGAGUAAUGUAUCGGAACGUGCCUUGGAGUGGGGGAUAACCAAUCGAAAGGUUGGCUAAUACCGCAUACGAUCUACGGAUGAAAGGGGGGGACCUUCGGGCCUCCUGCUCCUAGAGCGGCCGAUAUCUGAUUAGCUUGUUGGUGGGGUAAUGGCUCACCAAGGCGACGAUCAGUAGCUGGUCUGAGAGGACGACC